AGACACUACAAGCAAAAACUUUAAAAUCAAAGGACUUGACGGUGUUGCACACCAACCUAGAGGAGCCUGUCCAAUAAUCGAUAACCCACGCUCCACCUUACCCCCCCUAGCCAACCGCCUAUAUACCGCCGUCGCCAGCCUACCUCUUGAAAGAACAGCCGUAAGCAAAACGAGCCUCCCCAACACGUCAGGUCAAGGUGUAGCUAAUGGGGGGGGAAAAGAUGGGCUACACUCUCUUCACCAAGGGCCAACCGCCAGCCCAAUGAAACAAGGGCUAAAAAGCUGGAUUUAGUAGUAAUCUCGGUAAGAAAGCCGAGCUGAAACACGCGCUGCAACACGCACACACCGCCC
rnacentral:rRNA from 1 species